AUUGAACGCUGGCGGCAGGCCUAACACAUGCAAGUCGAACGGUAACAGGAAGAAGCUUGCUUCUUUGCUGACGAGUGGCGGACGGGUGAGUAAUGUCUGGGAAACUGCCUGAUGGAGGGGGAUAACUACUGGAAACGGUAGCUAAUACCGCAUAACGUCGCAAGACCAAAGAGGGGGACCUUCGGGCCUCUUGCCAUCGGAUGUUCCCAGAUGGGAUUGGCUAGUAGGUGGGGUAACGGCUCACCUAGGCGACGAUCCCUAGCUGGUCUGAGAGGAUGACCAGCCACACUGGAACUGAGACACGGUCCAGACUCCUACGGGAGGCAGCAGUGGGGAAUAUUGCACAAUGGGCGCAAGCCUGAUGCAGCCAUGCCGCGUGUAUGAAGAAGGCCUUCGGGUUGUAAAGUACUUUCAGCGGGGAGGAAGGGAGUAAAGUUAAUACCUUUGCUCAUUGACGUUACCCGCAGAAGAAGCACCGGCUAACUCCGUG
rnacentral:rRNA from 1 species